UCUGUCUUUCAGUGUUUUUAUAGUUUUUCAGCAAUGUUGUAACUUUAGAAUUCUUCUAAGAAAAUCACCCCAGAUUCUAGUGCAGUUUGUACUGUGUAUCCUGUCUUAUGCAUGGGAUUCCACUGUCCCCACAGGGAGGAAUUUCCUCUUAUAUUGAGUUAGUAUCAGAGUUAAAGGAACUGUGAUUUCUAGGCCUUUGCUCUCCAUGUGUUUGCAUUUGGCUGUCAAUCGCGAUUUUCCCUUUCUUGAGUUUUCAUUGUUCAAUUAGAAUUUUUGAAAAUAACUAUUAAUAUGUUGCAUCGAUCUCCCUAGAAACUUGAUGUGUUUGUGCUUUUCAGUUUUCAAUUUAUGAAAAAUGUAAAUACACACUUGUUUUUAAGUAGUCCUUUUUCACUAGAUAUUUGGUUACCUCUUUAUAGUUAAAAUAUUUUUUCCCAAUGUAUGAAUCAGUGUGCAUGUUUUAAAAGAUACCUUACUUUUUAUUUUUCUUAUUGUAACAGUUAUAUUCAUUGUAGAGAAUUUAGAAAAUACGGAUAAACACAUUAAUAACUUAAAAUGGCCUCUAAUCUCACCUAGACAUACAGUUGUAAGGUUUGAAAUUGAGAAUUACAAGUCCUCUCACAUUGUUCUUCUUUUUCAAGUACGUUUUGGUUACUGAGACCCUCGAAUUCCCAUAUGAAUUGUAGCAGCAGCUAGUCAGUUUCUGCAGAGGAGACCGCAGGGAUUGUGAUCGAGACCACGUUGAAUAUACGGAUCGUUCUGGGGAGCACUGCCAUUCCAAAAGCGCUGUCUUCUGAUCCAGCAAUGUGCGUGGUUUGUCCAGGUGCCCUCACCUCCAGUAGCAUCCAUCCAGACACCGGAACUGACACUGGCCGUGCUCCGAACUGCCUCAGCCCUGAAGACACAACUGACAAAUAGAAGGGGACCACGCCCUGUUACAGCAGGUGCUCUCACUUUGUGGAUCCUUAUGUAACUGAGCGGUGUUAAUCAGGAUUGCCCGUUCUACAUUGUGUGGCGCUGCUGCGGUGUCUCCUAGUUACUUGUUUCUUGUAAGAAUUCCGGUGACUGAGUUAGAAGCAUGCUUCCAAGCUGUCCGUGUCCUCGGCAUCCAGAAGCGGAGUCUGGAAGCUUCCGAAUUUCUCCAGAAUGCAGUCUACAUUCACCUUCGGCAGGGCAGGAAGCCUAGACCAAAAGCUGGGUAAUGUGAUCCGAGCUACGGUAGCCAUUUGAAGACUCUGAGGACAAACUGUACCUCCGGAUUUACUUGAGCUUCCCUUGCCUUCUGGUUGGUACACACCAGGUCAUCGCAACCCAGAUGGACCUGCAGCCCACAGUACAGUAUGUACCUCGAUCUCCUCUCCCCUCUCGUCAGGGCCUGCAGCAUGAGCAUCCCUGACUACGUGCAGUGUGCUGAGGACCACCAGACUUUCCCCGUGGUGGUCGAACACGUGGGGAUCAUCUCAGAGGAGAAUUUCUUUUGCAUCUAUAAGUGAAUCACCUUGGUGAGUCAGAUCAGUCCGUGCAGCUCCCAGUGGGCAAACUGUAUCCACUACAGGCACCACUAUGCACCCAAGAAUGGGUGGAGCGACUUCCAGACCCACCGCAAGGUCUUGGGCCUUGUCAUCAUUACUGAAUGCCUCUCGGCCAAGGCUUCGAAAAGCUCCACGUGCAGAGGAGCUGUAUGGCACCACGCUCUAUGACUCUCAGCUCUUUGACUUUCUGCUGCAUGGGGAGGUGGCCGAGCAGCCACGCACCGAAGUGGCCUUCAAUUUACGAGGACUGCAGGGUGGUGGAGAAGAGGAUCGACGACUUCACUGAGUCACUCUUCAUCUUGCCCAAGUCCAAGUGGCUGGACGGUGCAUCCGACAAUUCUGGGGACAAAAUCCUCCUUCUCUGCAUCCCAUUUGAGAAGGAGGACAUCAUGGGACUGGACACAGAAAGCAGUACGUUUUGGUUACUGAGUCCCUCAAAUUCCCAUAUGAAUAGUAGCAGCAGCUAGUCAGUUACUGCAGAGGAGCCCACUGGGAUUGUGAUCGAGACCACGUUGAGUAUACAGAUCGCUCUGGGGAGCACUGCCAUCCCAAGAGCUCUGUCAUCUGAUCCAGGAAUGUGCGUGGUGUGUCUGUCCAGGUAUUUAGGUCUUCUUUAAUUUUUUUCAACCAUGCGUAGAGUUUACAUAGUAUUAUUUUACCUUAUUUUUUUGCCUUUAUACUGAGUACAAUUGUGCAAGGUACUAGGAUCAGAAUUGUAUUAUAGCCCCGCCACUUGCUGCCACCAUGGAAGCUGCACUCUUGCUUUGCCCUGUGUAAAAUCUUGCACAAAAUAGGACCUAAGUAACUCUCUCUUGAAUGAAUGAUUAUAUGAUUGCUGGAUGAUGCUGGAGAGUCCUUGUGAUGAUGUCUUUUUCCCAGACUUUCCCCUCUUCUUAACUAUGCCUUUUCUCUUCCUUUCCUCCAACCUGGGUUUCAGCCUGCCUGUGGCAUUGAUUUUCCCUGAGUGUGGACUCUUCCUUUCACUAGUUCACGAUAAUGUUUCAUGCGGGCUAUGAAAACUUGCUAGAUGUCAAGAAAUAGCAAAUUCACUGCAUGCUAGUAUUUUUAGUCUGUGGUAUUAUAUUAUCCAUUGAAAUUAAAUCAGGCUGACCCCCUGAGCCCUCCCCUGAUCUCUUUUCUCCUUCCUACGGGUGAUACUUCUCUGGUUGCUGUCUGUGCCCUUCCCCCAGACUUGGUUUUGGAGUUGAGUAAGUCACCAUCAGUGGAGCUCUCUCUUUAAAGAUGAAGAGAACAUUUGCUCCUUCUUCCUGGUUGGGGACUGGAUGAGAUGUGGUAACAGAUAAAGAAUGGAGCCCCAUCUCAUUCUGACCCUCGCUCUUUCCGUUCCUUUCUCCAGGGGAAAAGAGUACAAUUCAAAAAUAUAAAGAUUGUGAGCUAAUGAGAUAGACAAGACAACCGAACAUUUGUUAAAUAUCCUUUCAUGCCGGACACAAAUGUAUUAUACACACAAAAAGCACACAAAUCACGGUAGUACUGCGGUUACAAACGUGGGUCCGAGUUCGAGUCCUGCUCUGGAGUGACCAGUCCUGUGAGAUGGAGAACUGAGUUCUAUGUAUAGUUGGUUACAUUCUAUACCUGGAAAUUUCUCCAAAACUGCUUCCCACGUGCCCUCACCUCCAGUGGCAUCCAUCCAGACACCAGCACUGACACUGGCCGUGCUCAGAACUGCCUCAGCCCUGAAGACACAACUGACAAAUAGAAGGGGGCUACGCCCUAUGACAGCAGAUGCUCUCACUUUGUGGGUCCUUAUGUAACUGCGCGGUGUUAUUCAGGAUCGCCCGUUCUACACUUUGUGACGCUGCUGCCGUGUCUCCUAGUUAUUUCUGAUCUGAGAAGCAGGAGCAAGGAACUCAGGGAGAGAUCCAGGAAGACAUCUGACUCUGUUAAGAGACGACAGUCACAGCGACACGGGGAGCGAGGACACUUGCAGCAAAGUAAAAUGACUUCACAACUAUUGCAUCAGAGCUGCAGGUGUGAGAGAGCCUAAGCCUGUCUCAGAGUGCAGGGGACAAGAGGAAAGGAAUGGCUCCUCAGCUCAGAUGUAAGAAAAGACUCUUUAAACUUCUUGAUGCAGCUCCUUAAUGAAGAUCUUGUGAAGGAAACCUACUCAAAACCUGGGAGCAUUCCUAGGAGAGAAUUCAGCAGUGCAGCAUCCUCUCCGAGCUCUAUGAUUUGAUCGGCUUCCACCGCAAGUCCGCCUUCUUCAAGCGGGUGGCCCCCGUGCAGCGCGUGGCCCCCGGCAUUACGGAGCCUGGCGCGAAGGCCUGCUACCGACUCCUUCUGCAGACGCUUCCUGGCUACAGUCUGUAGCUGGAUCUGCAGGACUUCAGCAAAGGUGUUGGAACUAAAACAUUGCUUCAGUCCCAUUAACCAUGCCUGGUUUGGGCCCUGCUGUCCUGUCUCAUCAGGGUGAAUUCUGAUUCGUUUAGAAUAGGGCUCAGCAGACUUUUUCUGUCAAGGGCUUGGGAGUAAGUAUUUCAGGGUCUGCAAACCUCCUGAUCUCUGGUGCAGCUGCUCAGCUCUGCUGUUCAGACGCCAGAGCAUCCGGACAUUCCACACACCCACAGAGCUUUAUUAACAGCGGUGUCUGGGGCUGGAUUCAGUGUAUGAACUGCAGUUUGUCCCCACAGCCUCCUCAUUAUUGACGCCUUCAACAGAGCAUGCAUUUGCGACACUGGGUGAACCUGCACUGACACGUCAUCAUCACCCAGAGCCCAUACUUGACACUAGGAUUUACACUUGGUGGUGUGCACUCUGUGGGUUUGGACAGAUGUAAAAUGACAUGUAUCCACCGUCACAGCAUCAUACAGAGUAGUCUGUCUUAGUGACCUUAAAAUGCUCCGUGCUGCACCUCAUUCAUUGCUCCUUCCCCUCUAGCCUCUGACAGCCACUGAUCUUUUAGUCUCUGUGGUUUUCCCUUUCCCAGAACACCAUACAGUUGGAAUCAGACAGUUGCGGAACCUUCCCAGAUUGGCUUCUUUCACUUAGUAAUAUGCAUUUAAGGUUCCUCCAUGUCUUUCCAUGCCUUGAUAACUCAUUUCAUUUUAGCACCAAAUAAUAGUCCAUUUUCUGGCUGGACCACAGUUAAUCCAUUCACCUACUGAAGAACAGCUUAGUUGCUUCUGAGUUCUGGUGAUUAUGAAUAAAGCUGCUAUUAACAUCUGUA